GACGAACGCUGGCGGCGUGCUUAACACAUGCAAGUCGAACGGAAAGGCCCUGCUUUUGUGGGGUGCUCGAGUGGCGAACGGGUGUGUAACACGUGAGUAACCUGCCCUUGACUUUGGGAUAACUUCAGGAAACUGGGGCUAAUACCGGAUAGGAGCUCCUGCUGCAUGGUGGGGGUUGGAAAGUUUCGGCGGUUGGGGAUGGACUCGCGGCUUAUUAGGUUGUUGGUGGGGUAGUUGCUUACCAAGGCUUUGACGGGUAGCCGGCCUGAGAGGGUGACCGGCCACAAUGGGACUGAGAUACGACCCAGACUACUACGGGAGGCAGCAGUGGGGAAUAUUGCACAAUGGGCGGAAGCCUGAUGCAGCAACGCCGCGUGCGGGAUGACGGCCUUCGGGUUGUAAACCGCUUUCGCCUGUGACGAAGCGUGAGUGACGGUAAUGGGUAAAGAAGCACCGGCUAACUACGUG
rnacentral:rRNA from 1 species